rnacentral:rRNA from 1 species
AAAAUUUUAGAUAAAUUCUGCUCAAUGAAUAAAUUAAAUAGCUGCAGUAAAUUAACUGUACUAAGGUAGCAUAAUAAAUUGCUUUAUAAUUAAAAGCUUGAAUGAAGGAAAUAAUGUGAAACAAGCUUUUUAACCUAAAAUAGUGAAAAUUAAUAUUUAAGUGAAAAAUCUUAAAUAGAAUCAAAAGACAAGAAGACCCUUUAGAACUUUACAGACUAACCUAAUCUCAUUAGGUUAAUUUGUUAAAUUGGGGAGAUUUUUAAAUAAAUAAAUCUUUAGAUAUAAAAAAAUGAUUUUAAUCAAAUUAAAUUAUCCAAGUAUGAAAUAAAACGAGUUACCUAAGGGAUAACAGCGCAAAAUUUUUGAGAAGUUCUCAUUUACAAAAUAAAUUGCGACCUCGAUGUUGGAUUAAGAACAACUUAUAAAGAAAAGUUUAUAAGAGUUGGUCUGUUCGCCCAAAUAAAUCUU